CCCUUAGAUGUUCGGGGCCGCACGCGCGCUACACUGAAGGACUCAGCGUGUCUCUCCCCCUAUCCCGAAAGGGAUGGGCAACCCGUUGAACCUCCUUCGUGCUAGGGAUUGGGGUUUGCAAUUAUCCCCCAUGAACGAGGAAUUCCCAGUAAGCGCGAGUCAUCAGCUCGCGUUGAUUACGUCCCUGCCCUUUGUACACACCGCCCGUCGCUACUACCGAUUGAAUGGUUUAGUGAGAUCCUCGGAUUGGUCCCGUCAUGGUGGGAAACCUCCGCGACGGUGUGCCGAGAAGACGAUCAAACUUGAUCAUUUAGAGGAAGUAAAAGUCGUAACA
rnacentral:rRNA from 1 species